AACGAACGCUGGCGGCAGGCCUAACACAUGCAAGUCGAACGCCCCGCAAGGGGAGUGGCAGACGGGUGAGUAACACGUGGGAACGUGCCCUAAGGUUCGGAAUAUUCCCGGGAAACUGGGAGCAAUACCGAAUGUGUCCGCAAGGAGAAAGACUUAUCGCCUUAGGAUCGGCCCGCGUCGGAUUAGCUAGUUGGUGGGGUAAAAGCCUACCAAGGCGACGAGCCGUAGCUGGUUUGAGAGAACGACCAGCCACACUGGGACUGAGACACGGCCCAGACUCCUACGGGAGGCAGCAGUGGGGAAUCUUGGACAAUGGGCGCAAGCCUGAUCCAGCCAUGCCGCGUGGAUGAUGAAGGCCCUAGGGUUGUAAAAUCCUUUCGUUGGGGACGAUAAUGACGGUACCCAAAGAAGAAGCUCCGGCUAACUUCGUGCCAGCCGCCGCUGUAAAAC
rnacentral:rRNA from 1 species